UACGAAGGGGGCUAGCGUUGUUCGGAAUUACUGGGCGUAAAGCGCACGUAGGCGGAUACUUAAGUCAGGGGUGAAAUCCCGGGGCUCAACCCCGGAACUGCCUUUGAUACUGGGUAUCUCGAGUCCGGAAGAGGUGAGUGGAAUUCCGAGUGUAGAGGUGAAAUUCGUAGAUAUUCGGAGGAACACCAAUGGCGAAGGCAGCUCGCUGGGACGGUACUGACGCUGAGACGCGAAAGCGUGGGGAGCAAACAGG
rnacentral:rRNA from 1 species